rnacentral:rRNA from 1 species
CCUACGGGGGGCAGCAGUGGGGAAUAUUGCGCAAUGGGCGAAAGCCUGACGCAGCGACGCCGCGUGAGGGAUGAAGGUCUUCGGAUCGUAAACCUCUGUCAGCAGGGAAGAACGGUCACUGUGCUAAUCAGCAGUGAAUUGACGGUACCUGCAAAGGAAGCACCGGCUAACUCCGUGCCAGCAGCCGAGGUAAUACGGAGGGUGCGAGCGUUAAUCGGAAUUACUUGGCGUAAAGCGCUCGUAGGCGGUAUGUCAAGUCAAGGGUGAAAUCCCCGCGCUCAACGUGGGAACUGCCUUUGAAACUGGCAAAGUGGAGUGUGUGAGAGGAGAGUGGAAUUCCAGGUGUAGGAGUGAAAUCCGUAGAUAUCUGGAGGAACAUCAGUGGCGAAGGCGACGAUCUGGCACAUAACUGACGCUGAGGAGCGAAAGCGUGGGUAGCAAACAGGAUUAGAUACCCCAGUAGUC